UGGACAUGAAUAUUCUUUCUAUAAUCAAACGAUUAUCUUCAUAUCUUGUCCGGUAAUAAGUGCCAAAAUACACAACUGCCUCAAUACCUCUUUUGAUAUGAGCAUAAUUAAAACAAUUCCCAACCCUAACCGGUAUGGGACUUCUCAGCUCCGUACGACUUAGGGUAACGUCCAUGGUAGGGUUCACCCUAUGCACCAAGUUCGUACACUCUUUCCCAAGACACCUGAUAAGUCACUUUCUAUAAAGGCCUGGAACCUUAUAAGAAAAGAAUUUAUAAUUUAAAUGC
rnacentral:lncRNA from 1 species